rnacentral:tRNA from 1 species
CGCGUCCUGGCCGGGCCCGGGGGUGCGGCGGAUGCGGUCGCGCUCAAGGGCUCCGACGGGCCCUGCGGCUGGUACGGGUCCGGCCGCCGUGCCC